UACGUAGGGGGCAAGCGUUGUCCGGAAUUAUUGGGCGUAAAGAGCGCGUAGGCGGUCCGAUAAGUCGGCUGUGAAAGUCAGGGGCUCAACCCUUGAAAGCCGGCCGAUACUGUCGGACUAGAGUCCGGAAGAGGCGAGUGGAAUUCCCGGUGUAGCGGUGAAAUGCGCAGAUAUCAGGAGGAACACCGGUGGCGAAGGCGGGUCUCUGGGCCGAUACUGACGCUGAGGAGCGAAAGCUAGGGGAGCGAACAGG
rnacentral:rRNA from 1 species